rnacentral:rRNA from 1 species
CAUAUCAAUAAGCGGAGGAAAAGAAACCAACAGGGAUUGCCCUAGUAACGGCGAGUGAAGCGGCAACAGCUCAAAUUUGAAAUCUGGCUCCUUCGGGGUCCGAGUUGUAAUUUGCAGAGGGUGCUUUGGCAUCGGCGGCGGUCUAAGUUCCUUGGAACAGGACAUCGCAGAGGGUGAGAAUCCCGUACGUGGGCGCCUGCCUUUGCCGUGUAAAGCCCCUUCGACGAGUCGAGUUGUUUGGGAAUGCAGCUCUAAAUGGGAGGUAAAUUUCUUCUAAAGCUAAAUACCGGCCAGAGACCGAUAGCGCACAAGUAGAGUGAUCGAAAGAUGAAAAGUACUUUGGAAAGAGAGUCAAAUAGCACGUGAAAUUGUUGAAAGGGAAGCGCUUGCAGCCAGACUUGCCCGCAGUUGCUCACCCAGGCUCCGGCCUGGGGCACUCUUCUGCGGGCAGGCCAGCAUCAGUUUGGGCGGUUGGAUAAAGGCCUCUGUCACGUAUCUCCCUUCGGGGUGACCUUAUAGGGGAGGCGCAAUGCAACCAGCCCGGACUGAGGUCCGCGCAUCUGCUAGG